rnacentral:lncRNA from 1 species
CCUUAAACUGGUCAUGAGAGUUUCUAUUUUUAAUCACUGCUCUACAAAUAGAGGGACCACUGCAAUGCUUUUUAGAAAAUUUCUGUUUACAAUUUACAGCUGUGCUAAAAAAAACCUGUGAGCCAUGCUAGUGGCUUGAUUUGUGGUUUACUCUGUGACCUCAGCUCUGCUACUUAUUUUCUUCAGGGACAAGACUUUUCAGGAGUCUUCUCUGAUUAGCUUAGCUUUUAUGAGAGAGAACAUUUGGCUGCUAGUGCCAAACUAAUGUUUUCAUGUAAAAAGCUUGUUAAUUCUCUGAUACUAAUACUUAUGUCCUGCAGUCUUCUGAAUGUGAUCAUCAGUAACUUUGAUGGGAGCAAUCUAGCAAGGAGAACUAUGCAACUCAAGCCCAUCUACUGCUUAUGGCAGAGUACAGCAUCUUCUUGUGUGAAGUUUCUGAUUUCAACAGUAUGGAAAACUAUGGAAGUGUGGUGGAAGAGUUGAAACUCCACCUGGCAAAAUGAGUACCACAAGCUUUAGGUACUGAUGCAAAAAGUGAUAGAAAAUAUAUUCUGGAACAUAUUACACAUUACUAGAAAUGUCAUUUGAGAGAAAAUGUCUACAAGGUCUAUUUUCAUUGAAGAUAGGCAAUAUGAGGCAGAAAAGUAAAUUAAACAGCAUGGCUAAAAGGGCUGACAUAAAGCUAAAAGAAUUUGAACCACCUAUGGAACUUGUAUCACUAGUGAAUGAUUUUCAUGAUGUACUUAGAGCAAAGAGAUAAAUGGCCAUAGGAGAUUUAAAUGGUAUUAUAUGAAAAUGCUGGCAAUUAAAAUGUUUUAGAGGGAGGUCACAGUAUCCAAUACCUGUAAUCCAGUAACAAAUGUUUAGUUACAGCUGUACUGAAAAGACUACGCUGGAGUUGAACUAAGGAUCAGCUGAAUCAGUCUCAUGAAAUCCCCUAGAUUUGCCAUCUAACUGAUGUCUCUCAAAAUGAUACAUUUUGGAAUAAUAGAAGAAAAAAAUAAAGCAAACAUCCCUUAAUGUUUAUCUUCA